GAAAUUGAAACUAUCUGAUACAGCUGCCGCCUGCCGUACAUCUCUGAUUCCCUUCCCACUUCCCAGUCGACGCCUCUCUCCCCCACUUCACUGCUGAGUGCCGAGACUGCCGGCAGCCCAGUCGGAGACAACCCUUCCCUCUCCCCAGUCGGCGUAGGCGAUAUCUCCUUUUCUCUCCUCAGUCGACGACAACUCUUCCCUCUCCCCAGUCAGCGACAUUUUCUUUUCUCUCCCCGGUCGGCGACAUCUCUUUUCCUCUCCCCAGUCGGCGACAACUCCUUUCCCUCUCUCCCCAGUCGGCGUUUCUUUCUUUCGUUGAAUCGGUUAUUCUAGGAAUCAAGAUUUGACUGGAACUCUCUUCAGAAUGUCGGGUGUUGCUCAUCGACAAGCUCUGGUGCUGGUCCAACUUUCUUGUUUAAGGCUAGACUGUGAAGACUUGCUAUUGAAAAACGCUUCUUCUCAGGGCUAACAGUUGCUUGGUGAACAACACUCUUAUAUUGGCCGUUGCUUAUUACUUCUACCUGAUCUCCCAACUGAACCAGUAGUGCUCCUUCAGUCACUGGAACUGGGAUCCAAUUCUUGUUCUGGUCCAUGAUCUGAAGACCAGUGCAGCAUCGUUAAUGAUCCAUAGUCAGAGUGCGGUGGCAUGCCUAAUGUGAGCUGUGGUUCAGGACCUGCUGGAUAGCAAUUCAUGGUCAUCACUUGUGAUCCUUCUUCAAUUUCAUUGCGCCAUAGGUGAAUCCACUCUGAGAUGGGAUGAGAGUAAUGCUUGAUGAAGUCUCUCCAAAAAUGAACUUUGUCCCUCGAAUGAUUUAAACUGGUGCCAUACCUUACAGGGGCAUGGACAUUGCCUGACAUCAGAAGCAUCUUCUCUUCAAGAGGCAGGUCAAAGAAGCCCAUCACAGCAUCUAGAGCAUCUUUCAUCACAUGAAGAGGGAUUCCAUGGUUUAUCACCUGAAAACAUGCACUUCUUAUCUCAUUUACAACACGAGACCUAAGAGAAGGAUGGUGCAGAAUGGAAAGGUCAACAAUUGGAAGGGUUGUGGAGGGGGUCAGAGUAGCAUUUGGCCUUGCUGAUGAAGGAAGAAUGUAAGAGUCGGGCACGUUAGAUGCCCCUGAAUUGUUACAUUGUGUAGGAAGCACAAAUAAUGAUGUACACAGUCCAAACAUGGAUAUUACAAUCAUAAAUGUAUUGGGUGAGAGAGAAGGAAGAAACGGUGGAAGUGGUCCCCACCAGUUUGCAGGCUGGUGAUGAAAGAAAUCUAUUUGGUAGUGCAAAAUUCCUGGCAGCAAGGGACCCAUAAGCCAGAGAUGGCGGAGCAUGAGAUACUAGAGGGUGUUUGUUUAGCAAGAGAUACUAGAGUUUAAAAUGAAUAAUGUGAGUGCAAGUUGGGAGUGACAUGCACGUCCCCAAUUAGAACUUUAGAGCUAUUACUUAACUUUUCACGUCAGGCAUACAAUACAAGAUUGAUUACAAGGAGAUGCUCGAGGCUAGUGCUCUUCAUUUUUUCCCUCGCUGUAGCACGAGAAAUAUCGGAUUGCAGUUGAAACAUUAAAUGCUCUUAUAAAAA